UAGGGAGUCUUCCACAAUGGACGAAAGUCUGAUGGAGCAACGCCGCGUGAGUGAAGAAGGGUUUCGGCUCGUAAAACUCUGUUGUUAAAGAAGAACAUAUCUGAGAGUAACUGUUCAGGUAUUGACGGUAUUUAACCAGAAAGCCACGGCUAACUACGUGCCAG
rnacentral:rRNA from 1 species